UUCUCUCUCUCUCUCUCUCUUCUUUCUGGAAGCGACGCUUACAUCUCCGACCAACACAAUGAACAAAGCUUCGAUUAUCCGGCCAUCUCCCUCCAAAUCGCCGCCAAAAUAAACAUGAAGGAGCUCCUUUCAUACUCGUCUUCCUAAUAAUCUAACCUUCGAAGGUUGUCCGAAAACUCAAAUCGACGAUCCAUACACCGCAAUGACGGAAUUGAGAGAAAAUCCAGGUGUGCAUGCAUAGAGAUUUUGAAGAGUACAAACCAAUUUCAAAGGGAUAUGAACGAUCUGAUAAAGAUAAGUACCCUAUUAGCCCAAAAUUAUAGGAGUCUAGCUAAAACACUAAUGAGAUUAAUUGUGAAAAUCAUAGAAUUAGAAAAAAAAAACAUGCUUUAAUAUUUCCAUACUAUUUAUCCUCCAAAGUAUAUAUACUGAUUAAUGUUUAUAUACCACUUGAAAUUUUUAAUCCCAUUAACUUUGAAGGCUUAACAUUUUUUUUUCUGAAUAUGAUUGGCACAUAUUGAAAGAAAAGCACAAAAUUAUGGAAAAAGACCUGCAUUAUAAGAAGUUUAAAGCAUGAACAACAGUUGGCAUUGAGAAGGAGGUUGCUUGGUAUGCUGUUGAAACCCCUUGAAAAAGGGGUUCUAAUAGUUUGCAAAAGGAACAAAUGAGAAACACAAACAUUUAUCAAAAUCUCACUCCAUAAUAUUAAAAAUGGAGGAAGUUCAUACAUUAAAGCCUAUACAAUUAAUUCAACUCUUCAUUAGAUAGAGAAGGGUUUAAAAAUGAUAGACAGGAAAAUAUCACCUUUGUUUCUUGAA